rnacentral:lncRNA from 1 species
CACCUCACACACACACACACACACACACAGUCACAGAGCAGACACACACACACACUGAUGAAGAACUGACCAACAUCUGAAACAGGAAGGACAGCAGACCUCCAGGAACAAACUCUGCAGAGAAAAGUUUUACAGUCUAUCCAGUAAAACACACCAAAACAGCAAGACGCUUCCUGUUCCUUUAUUGGAGACUGUUCACUAUCUGUAAAGCUAGUUCACACACACUAGUACAGGCAGAAUAGUAAAAAGACAUGAUGGAAGACCAACCAAAAGUCGAAAAAGAUGACAACACUGCUGUCCCUGACCACCAAAGUACAGUCAGCAAUGCUGGUGACCUGUGGGAAACAAGAUCGAACUGUUCCAACAGCUCACGUGCCAGUCAGCGGUCCUGUGCCAGUCAACGGUCCAAUGCAAGCGUUUUGGCUGCAAAAGCACGUGCUAAAGCAGCAGCCGCACAAGUGCAAGUAUCAUACGCUGAAAGAGAAGCAGAGGUGAUAAAGGAACAAGCCCACAUUGAAGCUGAAGCUACAAAAAAGAAAGCAGAGCUCAGCGCUGACCUCCUCAAACUGCAUCUACAAAGUGCAGCUGCAGCCGCCAACGCCGAAGCAGAGGUCCUAGAGGCAGCAGCCGAGGAUGAAGGUGGAGAUACCUGGUUUCCAACAAAUAGCAACAACGUCGUCCAGAACAGCUCAUCAUCUCGUGACGUGGAGAUGGAUCAGGACACGGUGAAGGAACAACAUGAGAUCCAGACUGAAGAUCAGAGGAAGCAGCUCACAUCUGGACCUGGACCCAGCUGUGUGUCCUUUAGAAGUGACCGGUCCAUGAUUAAACCCAUUAACUUCAAAGGAGGUCCAUCUACUGACCCACAGUGAGUCCACAUAAAGAAGGUUGCUGGUUGUCUUCCUGAUGGUCCAGGGGCCUCAUUUAUUGAUCCGUUCAUAGAACUGGUUCUAAAUACGUUCAGACCAAUGAAAUGUAGAAUGUGCACCAGUACAAAAAGAAUCAGUAUUUAUGAA